CUUCUUCCUUUCCUUUUCCCUUUUCUCUCUUUUCUUUCCCUUUCUCACGCAUGCAUAGCAGCCCCUCACCCUUUCUUUUCUCUUCUUUCUUCUUUCCUACUCGGUGCAGCAUCCGAUUGCCUUCCCUUUUUCCCGUUCAUUUCCCCCUUUCUCUUCUAUCACACAUGCACAUGGAGAUCGAGAGAGAGACUCGAUCUUUCCGAGCCAGAUGUUGCCGGAGAAGCAAAUAGGAGGCGAUUUAAGGUGGUUCUUGACCCGAUUUCCCGAUGGGUUUCCGAUGGGUGAUGCCGACGAAGUUGACGCGCGAUCUCGGUGGACUGAGGUGCGUUUUCCAGCAAUCUUCAAGGGGGAUCGCCCACUGUUGAUUCUACCGUUCUUCUCGGCACGUGUCAUGAUUGGAGACUUCAACUUGUUCUCCAAUGUAGAGUUCAAGUAAAUAGAACACGGGGAGUAUUUGAGUCAUAAGUCCUAUGCAGCCAAGAUGACGUUCCUUUGGUUGCAGGUAUUCCGGUCGUAGUUGAUGGCGUUGUAGAAGUGUACUUGGGAUAUUAUGACUGAAGCUCGCCGCGAUGGUCAUAGUUGUGGGACUAUAGGCGUCCUUUAAUUUAUAGGUUUGGUAUAUGUCAUGUGACGCUUGUGUCACAUAAUAUUUGUAAAGCCAUUCUUUGAUGCAAUUAUUAUUUGGAUAAGCCUUAAACAGAUAGACAGUACGGCUCUUUUUGUGUAAAUAUCAGUUUAUGUUUAUAGAUGUGACUUCUGCUUUUCA